rnacentral:rRNA from 1 species
AGCGGGGGACAACAUUUGGAAACAGAUGCUAAUACCGCAUAACAGCGUUGUUCGCAUGAACAACGCUUAAAACCAUGGCUUCUCGCUAUCACUUCUGGAUGGACCUGCGGUGCAUUAGCUUGUUGGUGGGGUAACGGCCUACCAAGGCGAUGAUGCAUAGCCGAGUUGAGAGACUGAUCGGCCACAAUGGGACUGAGACACGGCCCAUACUCCUACGGGAGGCAGCAGUAGGGAAUCUUCCACAAUGGGCGCAAGCCUGAUGGAGCAACACCGCGUGAGUGAAGAAGGGUUUCGGCUCGUAAAGCUCUGUUGUUAAAGAAGAACACGUAUGAGAGUAACUGUUCAUACGUUGACGGUAUUUAACCAGAAAGUCACGGCUAACUACGUGCCAGCAGCCGCGGUAAUACGUAGGUGGCAAGCGUUAUCCGGAUUUAUUGGGCGUAAAGAGAGUGCAGGCGGUUUUCUAAGUCUGAUGUGAAAGCCUUCGGCUUAACCGGAGAAGUGCAUCGGAAACUGGAUAACUUGAGUGCAGAAGAGGGUAGUGGAACUCC